UUCAACAACGAUUGCAUAAGGAAGGUAUUAAACAAUAUAAAACAUCCUAUGUUAUUACAAUUAUUCAUCUCAUCAUUUUACAUCGCAUUUUUCAUUACAUUGAUCCUCAACUUCCAAAUAUACAAUCGAUUUCUAAACAUAAUAUUACAACAUCGAUUCUUCACUUUUCUUUUCUUUAACCCUAAGAAGCCGACUCAGGGUGCUGCUAUCUGGUCUCUGUGGUAGGGCGCUAACUACGGAGCUACGCCCUUUCCUCGCGCCGUCGCGCCGCUCGCGUGUGGACCUGUACCCCCAAAAACAACAACACGGGGGUGAGAUUAUUGUCUAUAGUCCUCAGUGGGUACAGCCACCCAAGGGAAGAGCUCAACCCACCAGGUCCAAAGGAGGCACUGCAACAUGUUAGUCCAACAGAUAUAUAUACAUAUAACAUCAUGCAAUACAUGUUCAUGCCUCACAAAUAUGCAAAUUAUGCAACUCUUAGUCAUUCUUUACCAUUAGCCUUUCUUUAGAAUUUGCUAUUCUUUUUCAUUAGCCAUUCUUUACUCUUUAUUCUUUAUUCUUUAUUUUUUAUUCUUUAUUCUUUGCUAAGGGCACUCGCACCUUAGGCGCAUUAUACACAUUUGCCAUUCUUUAUAACAUUAACAAACGUUUCUCAAUUGUCAUUCUUUCUCAAUUGUCAUUC
rnacentral:lncRNA from 1 species